CAUAAAGGUUACCUCACCGACUUCGGGUGUUGCCAACUCUCGUGGUGUGACGGGCGGUGUGUACAAGGCCCGGGAACGUAUUCACCGCGGCAUGCUGAUCCGCGAUUACUAGCGAUUCCGGCUUCAUGCAGGCGAGUUGCAGCCUGCAAUCCGAACUGAGAAUGGUUUUAUGGGAUUUGCGACACCUCGCGGCUUCGCUGCCCUUUGUACCAUCCAUUGUAGCACGUGUGUAGCCCAGGUCAUAAGGGGCAUGAUGAUUUGACGUCAUCCCCGCCAUUCCUCCGGUUUGUCACCGGCAGUCACCUUAGAGUGCCCAACUGAAUGCUGGCAACUAAGAUUAGGGGACUGCGCUCGUUGCGGGACUUAACCCAACAUCUCACGACACGAGCUGACGACAACCAUGCACCACCUGUCACUUGGUCCCCGAAGGGAAGACCCUAUCUCUAGGGCUGGUCCAAGGAUGUCAAGACCUGGUAAGGUUCUUCGCGUUGCUUCGAAUUAAACCACAUGCUCCACCCGCUUGUGCGGGGCCCCCGUCAUUCCUUUGAGUUUAGGCCUUGCGGCCGUACUCCCAGGCGGAGUGCUUAAUGCGUUAACUUCAGCACUAAAGGGGUGGAAGCCCCUAACACCUAGCACUAUAGUUACGGCUUGACC
rnacentral:rRNA from 1 species